rnacentral:rRNA from 1 species
UACGAAGGGGGCUAGCGGUGUUCGGAAUCACUGGGCGUAAAGCGCACGUAGGCGGCGCGUUAAGUCAGGGGUGAAAUCCUGGAGCUCAACUCCAGAACUGGCUUUGAUACUGGCGUGCUCGAGUGUGGGAGAGGUUGGUGGAACUCCGAGUGUAGAGGUGAAAUUCGUAGAUAUUCGGAAGAACACCAGUGGCGAAGGCGGCCAACUGGCCCAUUACUGACGCUGAGGUGCGAAAUCGUGGGGAGCAAACAGG